rnacentral:rRNA from 1 species
CCUACGGGAGGCAGCAGUAGGGAAUAUUGGGCAAUGGAGGCAACUCUGACCCAGCCAUGCCGCGUGCAGGAAGAAGGCGUUAUGCGUUGUAAACUGCUUUUAUAUAGGAAGAAAUAGACCUUGCGAGGUAAGUUGACGGUACUAUAUGAAUAAGCACCGGCUAACUCCGUGCCAGCAGCCGCGGUAAUACGGAGGGUGCAAGCGUUGUCCGGAUUUAUUGGGUUUAAAGGGUGCGUAGGCGGUUUAUUAAGUCAGUGGUGAAAGACGGUCGCUCAACGAUUGCAGUGCCAUUGAUACUGGUAGACUUGAGUGGGAUUGAGGUAGCUGGAAUGGAUAGUGUAGCGGUGAAAUGCAUAGAUAUUAUCCAGAACACCAAUUGCGUAGGCAAGUUACUAAGUCUCAACUGACGCUGAGGCACGAAAGUGUGGGUAUCAAACAGGAUUAGAUACCCUGGUAGUCCACACUGUAAACGAUGAUAACUAACUGUUGGCUUUCGGGUCAGUGGUACAGAGAAAUCGUUAAGUUAUCCACCUGGGGAGUACGCCGGCAACGGUGAAACUCAAAUGAAUUGACGG